rnacentral:rRNA from 1 species
GAUGAACGCUGGCGGCGUGCCUAAUACAUGCAAGUCGAGCAAACAGAUGAGGAGCUUGCUCCUCUGACGUUAGCGGCGGACGGGUGAGUAACACGUGGAUAACCUACCUAUAAGACUGGGAUAACUUCGGGAAACCGGAGCUAAUACCGGAUAAUAUAUUGAACCGCAUGGUUCAAUAGUGAAAGACGGUUUUGCUGUCACUUAUAGAUGGAUCCGCGCCGCAUUAGCUAGUUGGUAAGGUAACGGCUUACCAAGGCAACGAUGCGUAGCCGACCUGAGAGGGUGAUCGGCCACACUGGAACUGAGACACGGUCCAGACUCCUACGGGAGGCAGCAGUAGGGAAUCUUCCGCAAUGGGCGAAAGCCUGACGGAGCAACGCCGCGUGAGUGAUGAAGGUCUUCGGAUCGUAAAACUCUGUUAUUAGGGAAGAACAAAUGUGUAAGUAACUAUGCACGUCUCGACGGUACCUAAUCAGAAAGCCACGGCUAACUACGUG